rnacentral:tRNA from 1 species
AGGAAAAUAGUUCAGCGGCAGAACAGUGGUUUCCAAAACCAAAAGUCAGGGGUUCAAUUCCUCUUUUUCCUG